rnacentral:lncRNA from 1 species
UGAUUACUCUGUUUCGGCACAAACAUUUCUGCUGAAGGAUACAAAACUGUUUGGAAAAUCAAUAAUGCAUGUUUUAAAUCCUCAACUUUCUGAAAGGUUUAAAGCAUCUACUUCUCUCUGCUACUGCAUUGCUGGCGUUCCUAGGAUGGGAAGUGAAAAUCAUAGUUUGAGGAAGCUUUCUGAGCUUGCGUUAGGUUAGUGCAACAGACAAGCCAGCGAGGGAGAUAUGGGGAUCAAUCUUGUAUUUCCUGCAUUUGGGUUGCCUUUUGUCUUUGCCUCCUUUGUCCUUUUUCUUUUCUUCUUGGUGCUUCUUGCAAAAUUGAGAUGCUAGCCUGGCUUCGGAGUGUCUUUGGGAAUGGUUGAUGCUGGCGACUAUUAGCUCAUACUUGAUUAGGAAUGGCCUCCAUUCUAACACCUCAGCAUUCAUCCCUGCAACCCUGUGCAUCAAACGCCAGACCUUUAGGCAUUAGUGCUAAUUCAUGACUUUGCAAUGUGCCUCAUAUGUGAAUUAAAUUUGGCUUAGCUCAUGAAAACGUGAUUGGAGAUUCAAGUCCGUAUUAGA